UAGAAUUGACGGGGCCGCACAAGCGGAGGAACAUGUGGUCUAAUUCGAUGAUACGCGAGGAACCUUACCUGGGCUUAAAUGUAGAGUGCAUUUUUUAGAGAUAGAAAUUCCCUUCGGGGCUUUCUGCAAGGUGCUGCAUGGUUGUCGUCAGCUCGUGCCGUGAGGUGUCGGGUUAAGUCCCAUAACGAGCGCAACCCUUAUCGUUAGUUGCCAGCUGGUAAAGCAGGGGACUCUAGCGAAACUGCCACCGUAAGGUGAGAGGAAGGUGGGGAUGACGUCAAAUCAGCACGGCCCUUAUGUCCAGGGCUACACACGUGUUACAAUGGCCGGCACAGAGGGCAGCUACCUGGUGACAGGAUGCUAAUCUCGAAAACCGGUCUCAGUUCGGAUCGAAGUCUGCAACUCGACUUCGUGAAGCUGGAUUCGCUAGUAAUCGCGCAUCAGCCAUGGCCGCGGUCCGAAUACGUUCCGGGCCUU
rnacentral:rRNA from 1 species